CACAAGCGGAUUAGGCGAAUCCAACCCUGGUGGGUGGAUUGACGAAGAAAUAUCUCCCUCGUAGCCCCUCUCUCUCCCUCGUCUCUUCUCACCCCCCCUCCUCCCCUCCGUGCCGCUGCCUCGGAUUCCCCCCUCCCUCUCGGCCGCAAGCGCCGGCGCCGACAUGGUAUGGAAGCGGCUGCCACGUAUUCUCACCCCACGUUCCCGAUCUGGAGAGGGAGGGAAAUACACGGCCACAUGUGCGUGCGCCGUCGGGAUGUUUCUUGAGGGUAGCAUCAACCCUUGUAGGCACUGCUAGCAGCAGCAGCAGGCCUCAGUGCCGACGAAGGGAUGGCACAUGGCGCCGUCGUCGUCGAUCUAGGUAGAAGGGCAAGCCAAGAUGAACCUCUCGCAUUAUCUAGGAAGUUGUCAUGGAAGACGCCGAAGAAAAGUCCAUGUAAGCUCCUCUGGUUUUCUUCCAUAAUUUUUCUUCCCUGCACAACAGUUAAUUUCCGUCUCUUCUGGACCACGUCUAAUUUUGGGAAAAAGAUGCAGGAAUUUUGAUAGAGAUGGAGAACUGGACGUGCUUUGUUUCCUUGCCUUGACCGCAUCUAAUUUUGGGGAAAAGAGAGAGGAAUUUGAGAUAGGUGGACAACCUGAAGAUCUUUGAACGUUCAGGAGCAGCCAUAUCCUCAGUGCUAUGCCAGCCUCCUCGCCACUACUGUCAUGUGGAUGUGACUAUUGUUUGGCUGCUGGUGAGAUGGGCAUAGUUUCCUCCGGGUUCAUGCAUCGUGAUGGUAUUCGAACAACACCUUAAUUGGCCCAAGAAAAUUUAGGACUGUCGGAUGAUAAACCAAAUUUUUUGUUUCAUGUACUAUCAUCUCACGUUCUAAUUUUGGUGUUCUGGUAGGAAGGGAUCGGCUUUGGCGGUGUCCGGUGCUGGCAUGUCAUGUGAUUAGAGCAUAGGAAGCUAACAUGAUGUUUGGAACUCGGUGGUCAUGCUCAUUGACUAGAUGCUGCGCCUCAUGUCACCCCGGGCGUCGAAUUGCUUGAUAGCAGAGCUCACGGAGUAAAAAUAUGUCUGCAAGUACUUGUUUGCCAUAUGCCUGCCCACUCCUCCGUCUCAUCAAGCUUUCUUUUAUUUCUCUAAAUUUGUUGUGUGCAUGUAUGUGAAAAAAUAACAGGAAUAGGCCAUGCUAAGGCUUUGGCAAAGAACAUUCUUUCCCUUGCUUAUGAAAAUUUUGGUCCUUUAAUAUUGAUUCCAUAAUUUGUGAUUAAUAAAUGUUGUUGGUAUUUGAUCUCUUUGUUGCUCAUGUCCUACUUGAUUUUGCAUGGGUACAGGCAAAAUACUAUUGGAGUGACAUAUUGGUAGAACCGAGGGUCCUACCGGUCCCGCUCCUCAGGUUGUAGGGGAAGGCAGGGGCUUGACAGAGAAGAGGGCGCGGCGGCCGGCGCGCGGGAGCCGUCGCGAUUGGGAAGGAGGGAGGCAGUGAGAGAGAGAGAGGUGCGGCUAGGGUUUAGGGCCCGGCUCCUCUGGGAGCCGGGCAAUAGAAUUAUUAUUAUUGCUUGAUCUCAAAAUAGUUUUACAGCUAGUAUAUAUAACCACGAUGCUAAAAAUAAGAUAACUUGUGGGCCAAGCCCCUAACUAAACCUGCCCGGUGGGCCUCCUACGGGCAUAAGUCUGCCCGGUUAAAACAUCUCUCCCCGCCUGCGCAAACAUCCCGUCCUCGAGCUGAAAGUCUGGGUAGUGUUGGCGGAACUCGUCACGCUGCUCCCAAGUAGCUUCCUCCUUCGGAAGUCCAGCCCACUGAAUCAGCACGUACCACACCCCGCGACGUAGCUGGGCCUGCAACAGCUUCUCCGGUCCCGGAAGGAGGCGCCCGUCGGAGGUCGGAGGGAGCGCGGGAGGGGCUGCAGGUGGCUCCCCACGGAAAGGCUUCAGCAACCCCACAUGGAAGACGUCGUGGAUAUGAGCACCGGCAGGAAGCUGAAGGCGGUAAGCCACCUUCCCGAUGCGCUCCAAGACAACAAAGGGCCCGGCGUAACGAGGGCCUAGCUUGCGCUUCGCGCGCGGGCCGAGUGACUGCGUAGAGCGGUGAAGAAGACGCGGCCACACCCAAUCACCCACCGCGAACUCCGCCUCGCGAUGGUGGUCGUCGUAGUAGUUCUUGGCCAGCUGCUGGGCCUGAAGGAGGCGUUGCCGGACCUCUGCCAGCAUCUCGUCACGGCGCCGCAUAAGAUCACCGGCCACCUCCGUCUGAGUCGUCGCCGGAUCAACCGGCAGCAUGGGCGGUGGUGGCCUGCCGUAGACCACCUCAAAGGGAGUGGCGCGCAGGGCGGAGUGAUAGGAGGUGUUGUAGCAGUACUCCGCCCACGAGAGCCAGUCCACCCAAGCGCGAGGACGAUCACUUGUGACACAACGCAAAUACAUGGCAAUCACCUUGUUGACAACCUCGGAUUGGCUGUCCGUCUGAGGAUGGAAGGCCGUGCUCAGGCGGAGCUUCACACCCGCCAACCUGAAGAGAUCGCGCCAGACAUGGCCGGUGAACACCGGGUCCCGAUCGCUGACGAUCGAAGAGGGAAACCCGUGGAGGCAAACGAUACCAUCAAAGAAGGCACGGGCCACAGGCAGCAGUGUAGGGAUGACCGAGCGCGAUGAAGUGAGCAUACUUGGAGAAGCGGUCGACCACCGUGAGAAUGACCGAUUUGCCGCCCACCUUGGGGAGGCCCUCGAUGAAGUCCAUGGAGAUAUCCGCCCAGACCUGAGACGUCACCUCCAAGGGCUGGAGCAGACCAGCCGCCCGUAGUGUCUCCGUCUUGUUGCGCUGGCACGUCACACAAGACCGUACCCAGUCACGGACCAGGGCCCGAUCACCGGGAAUGUAGAAGUCGGCGCGGAGACGAUGGAGGGUUUUCUGCACACCCUCAUGGCCCGUCGAGUGGGCCAGCAGCGGCACCUGGUGACGGAGAUCGUCGUGCAUCGGCACGAAGACUCGGCGCCCAUGAAGGAGCAGCCCGUCGGCGAGGCGCCACGGCUCCUCCAACUCCCCCGCAGCCAGCUACUACCGAAGGAGAAGCGCAUCUGGCGCGGCCGAUGUCGCCCGGCGGAUGUCGGUGAAGAGGGCGAAGGUGGGUCCGAAGCGGAUGCAGAGUGCCGCCCCCUCGGAGUCACCAACAGCGGUGUCGUGGUCGGCGUCGCGGCGAGACAAGGCAUCGGCCACGGUGUCAAGGCGGCCGGGGCGAUACUCGACGGAGAAGUCGAAGCCGAAGAGCUUACUGAUCCACUGGUGCUGCGGCACGGUCGAGAGCCUCUGGUCCACCAAGAACUUGAGGCUAUAGUGGUCCGUGCGAAUCCGGAAAGACCGGCCCCACAGAUAGGGCCGCCAAUGGCGCAUCGCCUGCACCAAGCCAAUGAGCUCCCGCUCAUAAGCCGCGAGCUUUAGAUGGCGCGCGGAGAAGGGCCUGCUGAAGAAGGCGAGAGGGCCAUUGCCCUGAUGAAGGACGGCGCCGAACCCCGCACCGGAGGCGUCGCAGUCCACCACAAAUGGGCGGUCAAAAUCCGGCAUCUGAAGAACGGGGCCCGUCAUGAGGGCCUCGAAUGCCACCGUCGCCUUGUCGUCCCUGGCGAAGGCGUCGUGGCGCAGCAAGCGCGUGAGUGGAGACGCGAUGAGGCCGAACUCCCGGAUAAAUUUCCGGUAGUACUCCGCGAGGCCCGGGAAGCCGUGAAGAGCCCGCGGUGAGUGUGGUGUCGGCCAGGCCGCGACGGCCGCCACCUUGUUGGCAUCCAUAGCAACCCCCUCGGCCGAGAUGACGUGGCCGAGGUAGGCGACUGAAGGCGUCCCGAACGAGCACUUCGAGCGCUUAAGAUGAAGCUGAUGCGCCCGAAGCUCGUUGAAGACGAUGGCGACGUGCUGGAGGUGCUCCGCCCAUGAGGCGCUGUAGAUAAGAAUGUCAUCAAAGAAAACGAGCACAAACCGACGCAAGUAGGACCGGAGGACAUCAUUCAUCAGAGCCUGGAAGGUCGUCGGGGCGUUGGAGAGGCCAAACGGCAUCACCAAGAACUCGAAGUGCGUGAUGAGUCCGAAACACCGUCUUGGCGAUAUCAUCUGGGUUCAUGCGCACCUGGUGGUAACCCGACCGGAGAUCGAGCUUGGUGAAGAAGCGCGCCCCAUGUAGCUCAUCCAGGAGCUCAUCGACCACCGGGAUAGGAAACUUGUCCUUAAGUGUUAUGGCAUUAAGGGCGCGGUAGUUGAUGCAGAAACGCCACGUGUCGUCUGACUUGUGGACGAGGAGGACUGACGCGGUGAAUGGUGAUGUGGAGAUCCGGAUGAUGCCCGCGGCGAGCAUGAGCGCGCACUGCCGUUCCAACUCGUCCUUCUGAAGCUGCAGAUAGCGGUGCCACUGGUGCUGAGCCUGGCAGGAGAUGAAUGCGGUGAUCAUACACCCGGGCUGGCGGAAGGCCCCGCGGAUCGAUGAAGAGGUCACCGUGCUGCUGCAGGAGGUGAUCCAACAGUGGGUGCUCAGCCUCGAAGGUGGCCGCCGCCAGCUGAAGCUGUGGCGUCACCGGGGAGGCGCCCCCAACGCCCUCCCACCGGAUGCGUCGGCCGAGUCGCCAGAAAGUCAUCGUCAGGGCGUCGAAGUCCCAGAGGAUGGGACCGAGGGUCCGCAGGAAGUCGACUCCAAGGAUGAAGUUGAAACAGCCCAAGUCGAUGCCCGCACACAUGAUGGAGAAGUGCUCGUCGCCGAUGGUGAUGGGCACGUCCCGCGCGAGCCCAUGACACCAGAGACGAUCGCCGUUGGCCACCGUGACCCGAAGUUGCUCCCCGCCCGUCGGCUGAAGCGCUAAGCGGCGUAUUGUAGCCUCGGGCAGGAAGUUAUGUGUGGAGCCUGUAUCCACGAGGGCCACUAGGCGCUUGCCGUGUAUCAUUACCGGCAAGAGCAUGGUCCGCUCGUCGUGGAUGCCGGCGAGUGCAUGGAGAGAGACCACUAGGGCCGUCGCCUGGGCAGCCGCGGUGGCAGCCUCAGCAGCCGCCGGGGGCGGCAGCGUGUCGAGCCCGUCUGCCGGGGCGUCCUCCUCGACGUAGUAGGCCGUCUAGAAGAGGGGUGGGCAGACAUGGCUCGGCGUGUAGGGCUCAUCACAGUUAUAGGAAAGCCCCUGGCGCCAACGCUCGAUAUGCUCCGCCUGAGAGAGAUGUCGGAAGGGCCGCGUCGCGGCCGGGGUGGUCGUCACUGGAGCGGCCGGGGGUGGCCGACCCGACGCAGGGGGCUGCCUGGCGGCCUAUCGGCCUCCUCGAGCCGGGGCUGCCUGCUGCAUGGCCUGGGCGCGACACUCGAAGGCGCGGGCGUAAUACAUGGCCGUCUGGAGAUCCUGGGGUCCCCGAAGCUCCACGUCCACGCGGAUGUGAUUCGGCAGUCCACCGACGAAGAGGUCGGCGCGCUGUUGUGCCGUCACGCCCGACGCGUGGCACGCCAGGGCCUGGAAACGGUCGGCGAAGUCCUGCACUGUGGAGGUGAAGGGCAUGCGGCCUAGCUCUGCCAGGCGGCUCCCGCGAGUCGGAGGCCCAAAAUGAAGGAGGCAGAACUCGCGGAAGCGCUCCCAAGGGGGCAUGCCGCCCUCGUCCUGCUCGAGGGCGUAGUACCAGGUCUGCGCCACGCCGCGAAGGUGGUAAGAGGCGAGCCAGGUACGCUCCGAUGCGAGGGUGCACUGCCCGCGAAAGAACAGGUCGCACUGGUUGAGCCAGUUGAGGGGGUCCUUCGUGCCGUCAUAAGUGGCGGAGUCGAUUUUGGCGAACCGCGGCGGUGUCUGGGUCGGGGCGCCGCGUCCGAUGGGCUCGGUGGUGCGGAGCAGCGAGGUUGGCGGCGCCUGGUCGCAGUACCCCGGGCAGGGGGCCGCGGAGCCGGAUGGUCCGCCGAACUGCAGGGACGGAGUCGGCUGUUCCGGAGUCAUGGUGUAGACCGGUGAUGGCGAAGACCCGGCCGCCCAAGCCGGUAGUGUCAACGGGGAGGGUGGAAACCGGACCUGGUGUAUCAGCAGUCCGGCCGAUGCAGGCGACAGCAGGUCGGAGCUGGGCAGAGGUGGCGCCUGGAGCUGCAACGGUGAUACGUCUCCAACGUAUCUAUAAUUUUUUAUUGUUCCAUGCAAUAUUAUAUUCUGUUUUGGACAUUAAUGGGCUUUAUUAUACACUUUUAUAUUAUUUUUGGGACUAACCUAUUAACCGGAGGCCCAGCCCAGAUUUGUUGUUUUUUGCCUAUUUCAGAGUUUCGCAGAAAAAGAAUAUCAAACGGAGUCCAAACGGAAUGAAACCUUCGGGAACGUGAUUUUCGGAACGAACGUGAUCCAGAGGACUUGGACCCUACGUCAAGACAUCAACCAGGAAGGCACGAGGUAGGGGGCGCCCUCCACCCUCGUGGGCCCCAUGUUGCUCCACCGACGUACUUCUUCCUCCUAUAUAUACCUACGUACUCCAAACUACCAGAUACGGAGCCAAAAACCUAAUUCCACCGCCGCAACCUUCUGUACCCGUGAGAUCCCAUCUUGGGGCCUUUUUUCGGAGCUCCGCCGGAGGGGGCAUCGAUCACGGAGGGCUUCUACAUCAACACCAUAGCCUCUCCGAUGAUGUGUGAGUAGUUUACCUUAGACCUUCGGGUCCAUAGUUAUUAGCUAGAUGGCUUCUUCUCUCUCUUUGGAUCUCAAUACAAAGUUCUCCACGAUUCUCGUGGAGAUCUAUUCGAUGUAAUCUUCUUUUGCGAUGUGUUUGUUGAGACCGAUGAAUUAUGGGUUUAUGAUCAAGUUUAUCUAUGAACAAUAUUUGAAUCUUCUCUGAAUUCUUUUAUGUAUGAUUGGUUAUCUUUGCAAGUCUCUUCGAAUUAUCAGUUUGGUUUGGCCUACUAGAUUGAUCUUUCUUGCAAUGGGAGAAGUGCUUAGCUUUGGGUUCAAUCUGCGGUGUCCUUUCCCAGUGAUAGUAGGGGCAGCAAGGCACGUAUUGUAUUGUUGCCAUCGAGGAUAACAAGAUGGGGUUUAUAUCAUAUUGCAUGAGUUUAUCCCUCUACAUCAUGUCAUCUUACUUAAAGCGUUACUCUGUUCUUAUGAACUUAAUACUCUAGUUGCAUGUUGGAUAGCGGUCGAUGUGUGGAGUAAUAGUAGUAGAUGCAGGCAGGAGUCGGUCUACUUGUCUUGGACGCGAUGCCUAUAUACAUGAUCAUACCUAGAUAUUCUCAUAACCAUGCUCAAUUCUGUCAAUUGAUCAACAGUAAUUCGUUCACCCACCGUAAUACUUAUGCUCUCGAGAGAAGCCACUAGUGAAACCUAUGCCCCCCGGGUCUAUCUUCUAUCAUAUUAAUCUUCCAACACUUAGCUAUUUUUAUUGUCUUUUAUUUUACUUUGCAUCUUUAUCAUAAAAAUACCAAAAAUAUUAUCUUAUCAUAUCUAUCAGAUCUCACUCUCGUAAGUGACCAUGGAGGGAUUGACAACCCCUUUAUUGCGUUGGUUGCGAGGAUUUAUUUGUUUGUGUAGGUGCGAGGGACUCGUGCGUGGCCUCCAACUGGAUUGACACCUUGGUUCUCAAAAACUGAGGGAAAUACUUACGCUGCUUUACUGCAUCACCCUUUCCUCUUCAAGGGAAAACCAACGCAGUGCUCAAGAGGUAGCAAGAAGGAUUUCUGGCGCCGUUGCCGGGGAGUCUACGCAAAAGUCAACAUACCAAGUACCCAUCACAAGCCCUUAUCUCCCGCAUUACAUUAUUUGCCAUUUGCCUCUCGUUUUCCUCUCCCCCACUUCACCCUUGUCGUUUUAUUCGCCUUCUUUUUCGUUUGCUUUUUUUCGCCGGAUCUAUUGUCUGCUUGUGUUACCAUGUGCCUUCUAUUUGCUUGCAUCUUUGCUUGCUAAAAAUCUAUUGUUAUGGAUCCACUUAAAGUAUUCUACUUGGAUCAUCUUCGAUCCUUAUGCGCUCGUGCUGAGACCCCAACUAGCCUAGAAAUCUUUAGAUGAGCAUGCUCAUUUUGUGUGUCACCGUUUGUCUGAAAAAGGGAAACUCUUAUGGAAUCACAUAAAUAGAUUGUUGUGUUAUGCUUGGAAUCUUUGUGAAAUUCAUGAUUUUACUUGUUGCUCUAAGAACCCUAAAAAACACCUUCCCUACCUAUGUGAGUUUAAUGAAAUCUUAUCUUCUUAUGCAAAGGGUGUUUAUAGUUACUAUGAUAUCGAACAAACUGAAGAAUUUGUUGCUUUUAAGGGUGCUUAUGAAGUUGCUUCUUUGAUUAAAAAGUAUGAUAUUACUCUCUACGAAUCUGAAAAUUUUGACAUACUUAAAUAUUGCUAUGAAAACUAUGCUCAUAAUGUCUAUGUCAAAGAAUUUAUUGAGAGAAUGACUGUUGCUUUGGAAGAAAAUAAUGAUAUGCAUGAAUCUAUAGAUAAUGAUGAUUCCGAUGAUUUUAUUGAAAUAUCCCGUGAUGAACAUGAUGCUUGCUAUUCUUGUGGCCAUGAUGCCAAUAUUUAUGAAGAUGAAUUUGCUAUAGUUCCUUAUGUUAAACAUGAGAUCGUUGCUAUUGCACCCAUACUUGGUAGUUCCUUCGAUAAAAAGGCAUGAUUGCAAUGAUGUUACUAUUAUUCUCUUGAUGUCAAUUUUGCUAAUAAUAUGCAAAACCCUAAGCUUGGAGAUGCUAGUUUUGCUAUGACUACUAUUUGUUGCAAUGAUCAUGAUUGGGGUGAUUCUUCUUUUGAUCUUGAAAAUUUAUUUAAGCCCCUUGAUGAAUAUGAGAUUGAUCAUAGUGUUUGCAAUAUUAUUGAAAGUGGGUUUGGAAGAGUGUCAACUUUAGAUCCCACAUAUUUGGAGAAUGUUCAAUCUUAUGAAGUUUUUGAUAAAAGUGGGUUUGGAGAGGUCAUGACUUUAGUUAAUGUUAAUCCCACUAUUUUGGAAGAGUGUCAACUUCGCAUGCAUGUGGAUCGUGUUGAGAAUAUGUUAUGUGAUAGCUAUAUUGUUGAAUUUACUUAUGAUCCUACAUGUAAUUAUUAUGAGAGAGGAAAAUAUGGUUGUAGAAAUUUUCAUGUUACUAAAUUACCUCUCUUCAUGUUGAGAUUGCUAUCGUCUCUUUCUUUUUCCUUGCAUAUGCUAGUAUUUGCCUGUCUUCAUAAUUUGUUUGCCUAUAAGAUGCCUAUGAUAGGAAGUAUGUUAGACUUAGAUGUGUUUUUCACAUGUUAUAUAUGAUGCUCUCUUUGUGCUUCAAUUCCUGUCUUUCAUGUGAGCAUCAUCGAAAUUAUCAAUGCCUAGCUAGGGGCGUUAAACGAUAGCGCUUGUUGGGAGGCAACCAAUUUUAUUUUUAGUUUUUUGCCUUUUGCUUCUGUUUAGGAAUAAAUAUUUGAUCUAGCCUCUGGUUAGAUGUGUUUUUAUGUUUUAAUUAAUGUUUGUACCAAGUUUAACCUAUAGGAUCUUCUUGGAUGAUAGUUAUUUGAUCUUGCUGAAAAUUCCAGAAACUUUCUGUUCACAAAAAUAAUUGUUAAAAAUCACCAGAAUAUGAUAAAAUAUUGAUUCCAAUUGCUGCUGAUCAAUAAACAAAUUAUCUAGGUCGUCCUAUUUUGGCUGAAUUUUUGGAGUUCCAGAAGUUUGCGUUAGUUACAGAUUACUACAGACUGUUCUGUUUUUGAGAGAUUCUGUUUUUCGUGUGUUGUUUGCUUAUUUUGAUGAAUCUAUGGCUAGUAAAAUAGUUUAUAAACCAUAGAGAAAUUGGAAUACAUUAGGUUUAACACCAAUAUAAAUAAAGAAUGAGUUCAUUACAGUACCUUGAAGUGGAGUUUUGUUUUCUUUCGCUAACGGAGCUCACGAGAUUUUCUGUUAAGUUUUGUGUUGUGAAGUUUUCAAGUUUUGGGUAAAAGAUUUGAUGGAUCAUGGAACAAGGAGUGGCAAGAGCCUAAGCUUGGGGAUGCCCAUGGCACCCCAAGAUAAUCUAAGGACACCAAAAAGCCAAAGCUUGGGGAUGCCCCGGAAGGCAUCCCCUCUUUCGUCUACUUCCAUCGGUAACUUUACUUGGAGCUAUAUUUUUAUUCACCACAUGAUAUGUGUUUUGCUUGGAGCGUCUUGUAUGAUUUGAGUCUUUGCUUUUUAGGUUACCACAAUCAUCUUUGCUGUACACACCUUUUGAUGAGAGACACAAAUGAUUCGGAAUUUAUUAGAAUACUCUAUGCGCUUCACUUAUAUCUUUUGAGCUAUAUAGGUUUUGCUCUAGUGCUUCACUUAUAUCUUUUAGAGCACGGCGGUGGUUUUGUUUUAUAGAAACUAUUAUUCUCUCGUGCUUCACUUAUAUUAUUUUGAGAGUCUUAAACAACAUGGUAAUUUGCUUAAACUGGGAAAUUAAUCCUAAUAUCUUAGGUAUUCAAGACUAGUAAAAAACUUUCUUAUGAAUGUGCUGAAUGCUAAGAGAAGUUUGAUGCUUGAUGAUUGUUUUGAGAUAUGGAGGUAGUGAUAUUAAAGUUGUGCUAGUUGAGUAGUUGUGAAUUUGAGAAAUACUUGUGUUGAAGUUUGCAAGUCCCGUAGCAUGCACGUAUGGUAAACGUUAUGUAACAAAUUUGAAACAUGAGGUGUUCUUUGAUUGUCCUCCUUAUGAGUGGCGAUCGGGGACGAGCGAUGGUCUUUUCCUACCAAUCUAUCCCCCUAGGAGCAUGCGCGUAGUGCUUGGUUUUUGAUGACUUGUAGAUUUUUGCAAUAAGUAUGUGAGUUCUUUAUGACUAAUGUUGAGUCCACGGAUUAUACGCGCUCUUACCCUUCCAUCAUUGCUAGCCUCUUCGGUACCGUGCAUUGCCCUUUCUCACAUUGAGAGUUGGUGCAAACUUCGUCGGUGCAUCCAAACCCCGUGAUAUGAUACGCUCUUUCACACAUAAACCUCCUUAUAUCCUCCUCAAGACAGCCACCAUACCUACCUAUUAUGGCAUUUCCAUAGCCAUUCCGAGAUAUAUUGUCAUGCAACUUUCCACCGUUCCGUUUAUCAUGACACGUUCAUCAUUGUCAUAUUGCUUUGCAUGAUCAUGUGGUUGACAUCGUAUUUGUGGCAAAGCCACCGUUCAUAAUUUUUCAUACAUGUCACUCUUGAUUCAUUGCUAUCCCGGUAUACCGCCGGAGGCAUUCAUAUAGAGUCAUACUUCGUUCUAGUAUCGAGUUGUAAUCAUUGAGUUGUAAAUAAAUAGAAGUGUGAUGAUCAUCAUUCAUAGAGCAUUGUCCCAACUAAAAAAAGAGAAAGGCCAAAAAAAGAGAAGCCCCCCCCCCAAAAAAGGGGGACAAUGCUACUAUCCUUUUUCCACACUUGUGCUUCAAAGUAGCACCAUGAUCUUCAUGAUAGAGAGUCUCUUGUUUUGUCACUUUCAUAUACUAGUGGGAAUUUUUCAUUAUAGAACUUGGCUUGUAUAUUCCAACAAUGGGCUUCCUCAAAUGCCCUAGGUCUUCGUGAGCAAGCAAGUUGGAUGCACACCCACUUAGUUUCUUUUGUUGAGCUUUCAUGCAUUUAUAGCUCUAGUGCAUCCGUUGCAUGGCAAUCCCUACUCCUUGCAUUAACAUCAAUCGAUGGGCAUCUCCAUAGCUCAUUGAUUAGCAGCGUUGAUGUGAGACUUUCUCCUUUUUUGUCUUCUCCACAUAACCCCCAUCAUUAUAUUCUAUUCCACCCAUAGUGUUAUAUCCAUGGCUCACGCUCAUGUAUUGCGUGAAGGUUGAAAAAGUUUGAGAUUGCUAAAGUAUGAAACAAUUGCUUGGCUUGUCAUCGGGGUUGUGCAUGAUGAGAGCAUUCUUGUGUGACGAAAAUGGAGCAUGACUAAACUAUAUGAUUUUGUAGGGAUGAACUUUCUUUGGCCAUGUUAUUUUGAGAGGACAUAAUUGCUUAGUUAGUAUGCUUGAAGUAUUAUUACUUUUAUGUCAAUAUUAAACCUUUAUCUUGAAUCUUUCGGAUCUGAAUAUUCAUACCACAAUUAAGAGAAUUACAUUGAAAUUAUGCCAAGUAGCAUUCCACAUCAAAAAUUCUGUUUUUAUCAUUUACCUACUCGAGGACGAGCAGGAAUUAAGCUUGGGGAUGCUUGAUACGUCUCCAACGUAUCUAUAAUUUUUUAUUGUUCCAUGCUAUUUUUUAUUCUGUUUUGGACAUUAAUGGGCUUUAUUAUACACUUUUAUAUUAUUUUUGGAACUAACCUAUUAACCGGAGGCCCAGCCCAGAUUUGCUGUUUUUUGCCUAUUUCAGAGUUCGCAGAAAAAGAAUAUCAAACGGAGUCCAAACGGAAUGGAACCUUUGGAAACGUGAUUUUCGGAACGAAUGUGAUCCAGAGGACUUGGACCCUACGUCAAGACAUCAACCAGGAAGGCACGAGGUAGGGGGCGCGCCUACCCCCCUGGGCGCGCCCUCCACCCUCGUGGGCCCCAUGUUGCUCCACCGACGUACUUCUUCCUCCUAUAUAUACCUACGUACUCCCAAACUACCAGAUACGGAGCCAAAAACCUAAUUCCACCGCCGCAACCUUCUGUACCCGUGAGAUCCCAUCUUGUGGCCUUUUCCGGAGCUCCGCCAGAGGGGGCAUCGAUCACGGAGGGCUUCUACAUCAACACCAUAGCCUCUCCGAUGAUGUGUGAGUAGUUUACCUCAGACCUUCGGGUCCAUAGUUAUUAGCUAGAUGGCUUCUUCUCUCUCUUUGGAUCUCAAUACAAAGUUCUCCACGAUUCUCGUGGAGAUCUAUUCGAUGUAAUCUUCUUUUGCGGUGUGUUUGUUGAGACCGAUGAAUUGUGGGUUUAUGAUCAAGUUUAUCUAUGAACAAUAUUUCAAUCUUCUCUGAAUUCUUUUAUGUAUGAUUGGUUAUCUUUGCAAGUCUCUUCGAAUUAUCAGUUUGGUUUGGCCUACUAGAUUGAUCUUUCUUGCAAUGGGAGAAGUGCUUAGCUUUGGGUUCAAUCUUGCGGUGUCCUUUCCCAGUGACAGUAGGGACAGCAAGGCACGUAUUGUAUUGUUACCAUCGAGGAUAACAAGAUGGGGUUUAUAUCAUAUUGCAUGAUUUUAUCCCUCUACAUCAUGUCAUCUUACUUAAAGUGUUACUCUGUUCUUAUGAACUUAAUACUCUAGAUGCAUGCUAGAUAGCGGUCGAUGUGUGGAGUAAUAGUAGUAGAUGCAGGCAGGAGUCGGUCUACUUGUCUUGACGUGAUGCCUAUAUACAUGAUCAUACCUAGAUAUUCUCAUAACUAUGCUCAAUUCUGUCAAUUGCUCAACAGUAAUUCGUUCACCCACCGUACUACUUAUGCUCUCGAGAGAAGCCACUAGUGAAACCUAUGGCCCCCGGGUCUAUCUUCUAUCAUAUUAAUCUACCAACACUUAGCUAUUUUUAUUGCCUUUUAUUUCACUUUGCAUCUUUAUCAUAAAAAUACCAAAAAUAUUAUCUUAUCAUAUCUAUCAGAUCUCACUCUCGUAAAUGACCGUGAAGGGAUUGACAACCCCUUUAUUGCGUUGGUUGCGAGGAUUUAUUUGUUUGUGUAGGUGCGAGGGACUCGUGCGUGGCCUCCUACUGGAUUGAUACCUUGGUUCUAAAAAACGGAGGGAAAUACUUACGCUGCUUUACUGCAUCACCCUUUCCUCUUCAAGGGAAAACCAACGCAGUGCUCAAGAGGUGGCAAGCGACUGUUGGCCGGAAGCCGUGGUGGCAGGCGGCGGCCACUGCGGCCACAGGGGGGUGCGGCUGGGGGCGGCUUGUAACGCCCGGAUAGUUAUGCUACAGUAAUCCCAUGCUAAUGUUGCCACGUCACUGCAUUUACUGUUGUUAACCUCGUGAUGAUUCAAUCCCGUUCGUUUUCAAAAUUCAAAUUUAAAUCAAACAGCAAAAAUGAGUAAAAGAAAAGGAGAAAGCAAACAAAAAAACAAAAGAAGACCCCCGGCCCAACUGGGCCAAUCAGCCCAGCCGGCCGGCCCACACCCGCUACCCCUGGCCUAUUAGGCCACUCCCACCCGAACCCUAACGACCAGACCCCCCACUUCCCCCACGCACCCACGCUCCUCUCCUUCCCCCGAUUCGGGAUCUGGAUCGGGCCACGCCCCGACCCCGCCGCUCGCCCCGACGCUAUCGCCCGUCUCCCCGUCGCCUCCCGCACGACGCCUGCCCCCUCGACCCGAGCUGGAUCGGGGGACUCGACCCCGCUGCGCCCCGGCGCUCUCCCGUCGCCCGACAACUGCCACCGCGCGGAGCCCCACUCGCCGGACCUGAAGGAAAUAUACCCUAGAGGCAAUAAUAAAGUUAUUAUUUAUUUCCUUAUAUCAUAAUAAAUGUUUAUUAUUCAUGCUAGAAUUGUAUUAACCGGAAACAUAAUACUUGUGUGAAUACAUAGACAAACAGAGUGUCACUAGUAUGCCUCUACUUGACUAGCUCGUUGAUCAAAGAUGGUUAUGUUUCCUAGCCAUAGACAUGAGUUGUCAUUUGAUUAACGGGAUCACAUCAUUAGGAGAAUGAUGUGAUUGACUUGACCCAUUCCGUUAGCUUAGCACUCGAUCAUUUAGUAUGUUGCUAUUGCUUUCUUCAUAACUUAUACAUGUUCCUAUGACUAUGAGAUUAUGCAACUCCCGUUUACCGGAGGAACACUUUGUGUGCUACCAAACGUCACAACGUAACUGGGUGAUUAUAAAGGUGCUCUACAGGUGUCUCCAAAGGUACUUGUUGGGUUGGCGUAUUUCGAGAUUAGGAUUUGUCACUCCGAUUGUCGGAGAGGUAUCUCUGGGCCCACUCAGUAAUACAUAUCACUAUAAGCCUUGCAAGCAUUGUAACUAAUGAGUUAGUCGCGGGAUGAUGUAUUACGGAACGAGUAAAGAGACUUGCCGGUAACGAGAUUGAACUAGGUAUCGAGAUACCGACGAUCGAAUCUCGGGCAAGUAACAUACCGAUGACAAAGGGAACAACGUAUGUUGUUAUGCGGUCUGACCGACAAAGAUCUUCGUAGAAUAUGUGGGAGCCAAUAUGAGCAUCCAGGUUCCGCUAUUGGUUAUUGACCGGAGAGGUGUCUCGGUCAUGUCUACAUAGUUCUCGAACCCGUAGGGUCCGCACGCUUAACGUUACGAUGACAGUUAUAUUAUGAGUUUAUAUGUUUUGAUGUACCGAAGGUUGUUCGGAGUCCCGAAUGUGAUCACGGACAUGACGAGGAGUCUCGAAAUGGUCGAGACAUAAAGAUUGAUACAUUGGAAGCCUAUGUUUGGAUAUCGGAAGUGUUCCGGGUGAAAUCGGGAUUUUUCCGGAGUACCGGGAGGUUACCGGAACCCCCCGGUAACUUAAUGGGCCUUAGUGGGCCUAGGUGGAAGAGAGGAGAGGAGGCUAGGGCAGGGCCGCACGCCCCUCCCCCCCAGUCCGAAUAGGACAAGGAGAGGGGGGCGGCGCCCCCCUUUCCUUCCUCCCCUCCACCUCUUCCCCCUCUCUCUCCUAGUCCAACAUGGAAAAGGGGGAAGUCCUACUCCCGGUAGGAGUAGAAAUCGUCCUGGUGCGCCUCUCCCCUUGGCCGGCCGAAACCCCCCCUUGCUCCUUUAUAUACGGGGGCAGGGGGCACCUCUAGACACACAAUUGAUCAUUGAUCUCUUAGCCGUGUGCGGUGCCCCCCUCCACUAUAUUACACCUCGAUAAUAUCGUAGCGGUGCUUAGGCGAAGCCUUGCGUCGGUAGAACAUCAUCAUCGUCACCACACCAUCGUGUUGACGAAACUCUCCCUCAACACUCGGCUGGAUCGGAGUUCGAGGGACGUCAUCGAGCUGAACGUGUGCUGAACUCGGAGGUGCCGUACGUUCGGUACUUGAACGAUCGGAUCGUGAAGACGUACGACUACAUCAACCGCGUUGUGUUAACGCUUCCGCUUUCGGUCUACGAGGGUACGUGGACAACACUCUCCCCUCUCGUUCUAUGCAUCACCAUGAUCUUGCGUGUGCGUAGAAUUUUUUUGAAAUUACUACGUUCCCCAACAGUGGCAUCCGAGCCUGGUUUUAUGCGUUGAUGUUAUAUGCACGAGUAGAACACAAUUGAGUUGUGGGCGAUAUAAGUCAUACUGCUUACCAGCAUGUCAUAUUUUGGUUCACCGGUAUUGUGAGAUGAAGCGGCCCGGACCGACAUUACGCGUACGCUUACGCGAGACCGGUUUCACCAUUGCGAGCACUCGUUGCUUAAAGGUGACUGGCGGGUGUCUGUCUCUCUCACUUUAGUUGAACCGAGUGUGGCUACGCCCGGUCCUUGCGAAGGUUAAAACAGCACCAACUUGACAAACUAUCGUUGUGGUUUUGAUGCGUAGGUAAGAACGGUUCUUGCUAAGCCCGUAGCAGCCACGUAAAACUUGCAACAACAAAGUAGAGGACGUCUAACUUGUUUUUGCAGGGCAUGUUGUCAUGUGAUAUGGUCAAGACAUGAUGCUAUAUUUUAUUGUAUGAGAUGAUCAUGUUUUGUAACCGAGUUAUCGGCAACUGGCAGGAGCCAUAUGGUUGUCGCUUUAUUGUAUGCAAUGCAAUCGCCAUGUAAUUGUUUUACUUUAUCACUAAGCGGUAGCGAUAGUCGUAAAAGCAAUAGUUGGCGAGACGACAACGAUGCUACGAUGGAGAUCAAGGUGUCGCGCCGGUGACGAUGGUGAUCAUGACGGUGCUUCGGAGAUGGAAAUCACAAGCACAAGAUGAUGAUGGCCAUAUCAUAUCACUUAUAUUGAUUGCAUGUGAUGUUUAUCUUUUAUGCAUCUUAUCUUGCUUUGAUUGACGGUAGCAUUAUAAGAUGAUCUCUCACUAAAAUUUCAAGAUAAAACUGUUCUCCCUGAGUAUGCACCGUUGCCAAAGUUCGUCGUGCCCAGACACCACGUGAUGAUCGGGUGUGAUAAGCUCUACGUCCAUCUACAAUGGGUGCAAGCCAGUUUUGCACACGCAGAAUACUCAGGUUAAACUUGACGAGCCUAGCAUAUGCAGAUAUGGCCUCGGAACAUUGAGACCGAAAGGUCGAGCGUGAAUCAUAUAGUAGAUAUGAUCAACAUAGUGAUGUUCACCAUUGAAAACUACUCCAUUUCACGUGAUGAUCGGUUAUGGUUUAGUUGAUUUGGAUCACGUGAUCACUUAGAUGAUUAGAGGGAUGUCUGUCUAAGUGGGAUUUCUUAAGUAAUAUGAUUAAUAGAACUUAAAUUUAUCAUGAACUUAGUACCUGAUAGUAUCUUGCUUGUCUAUGUUAAUUGUAGAUAGAUGGCCUGUGCUGUUGUUCCGUUGAAUUUUAAUGCGUUCCUUGAGAAAGCAAAGUUGAAAGAUGAUGGUAGCAAUUACACGAACUGGGUCCGUAACUUGAGGAUUAUCCUCAUUGCUGCACAGAAGAAUUAUGUCCUGGAAGCACCGCUGGGUGCCAGGCCUGCUGCAAGAGCAACACCAGAAGUUGUGAACGUCUGGCAGAGCAAAGCUGAUGACUACUCGAUAGUUCAGUGUGCCAUGCUUUAUGGCUUAGAACCGGGUCUUCAACGACGUUUUGAACGUCAUGGAGCAUAUGAGAUGUUCCAGGAGUUGAAGUUAAUAUUUCAAGCAAAUGCCCGGAUUGAGAGAUAUGAAGUCUCCAAUAAGUUCUACAGCUGCAAGAUGGAAGAGAAUAGUUCUGUCAGUGAGCAUAUACUCAAAAUGUCUGGGUAUAACAAUCACUUGAUUCAACUGGGAGUUAAUCUUCCGGAUGAUAGCGUCAUUGAUAGAAUUCUUCAAUCACUACCACCAAGUUACAAGAGCUUCAUGAUGAACUAUAACAUGCAAGGGAUGAAUAAGACAAUUCCCGAGCUCUUCGCAAUGCUAAAGGCAGCGGAGGUAGAAAUCAAAAAGGAGCAUCAAGUGUUGAUGGUCAAUAAGACCACUAGUUUCAAGAAAAAGGGCAAAGGAAAGAAGAAGGGGAACUUCAAGAAGAACAGCAAGCAAGUUGUUGUUCAGGAGAAGAAACCCAAAUCUGGACCUAAGCCUGAGACUGAGUGCUUCUACUGCAAGCAUACUGGUCACUGGAAGCGGAACUGCCCCAAGUAUUUGGCGGAUAAGAAGGAUGGCAAGGUGAACAAAGGUAUAUGUGAUAUACAUGUUAUUGAUGUGUACCUUACCAGAGCUCGCAGUAGCACCUGGGUAUUUGAUACUGGUUCUGUUGCCAAUAUUUGCAACUCGAAACAGGGACUACGGAUUAAGCGAACACUGGCCAAGGACGAGGUAACGAUGCGCGUGGGAAACGGUUCCAAAGUCGAUGUGAUCGCCGUCAGCACGCUACCUCUACAUCUACCUUCGGGAUUAGUAUUAGACCUGAAUAAUUGUUAUUUGGUGCCAGCGUUGAGCAUGAACAUUAUAUCUGGAUCUUGUUUAAUGCGAGACGGUUAUUCAUUUAAAUCAGAGAAUAAUGGUUGUUCUAUUUAUAUGAGUAAUAUCUUUUAUGGUCAUGCACCCUUGAAGAGUGGUCUAUUUUUAAUGAAUCUCGAUAGUAGUGACACACAUAUUCAUAAUGUCGAAGCCCAAAGAUGCAGAGUUGAUAAUGAUAGUGCAACUUAUUUGUGGCACUGUCGUUUAGGUCAUAUCGGUGUAAAGCGCAUGAAGAAACUCCAUAAUGAUGGACUUUUGGAAUCACUUGAUUAUGAAUCACUUGGUACUAGCGAACCGUGUCUCAUGGGCAAGAUGACUAAAACACCGUUCUCCGGAACUAUGGAGAGAGCAACUAAUUUGUUGGAAAUCAUACAUACAGAUGUAUGUGGUCCGAUGAAUAUUGAGGCUCGUGGCGGAUAUCGUUAUUUUCUCACCUUCACAGAUGAUUUGAGCAGAUAUGGGUAUAUCUACUUAAUGAAACAUAAGUCUGAAACAUUUGAAAAGUUCAAAGAAUUUCAGAGCGAAGUUGAAAAUCAUCGUAACAAGAAAAUAAAGUUUCUACGAUUAGAUCGUGGAGGAGAAUAUUUGAGUUACGAGUUUGGUCUACAUUUGAAACAAAGCGGAAUAGUUUCGCAACUCACGCCACCCGGAACACCACAACGUAAUGGUGUGUCCGAACGUCGUAAUCGUACUUUACUAGAUAUGGUGCGAUCUAUGAUGUCUCUUACUGAUUUACCGCUAUCGUUUUGGGGUUAUGCUUUAGAGACGGCUGCAUUCACUCUAAAUAGGGCACCAUCGAAAUCCGUUGAGACGACGCCAUAUGAACUAUGGUUUGGCAAGAAACCAAAGUUGUCGUUUCUUAAAGUUUGGGGUUGCGAUGCUUAUGUGAUGAAACUUCAACCUGAUAAGCUCGAACCUAAAUCGGAGAAAUGUGUCUUCAUAGGAUACCCAAAGGAAACUGUUGGGUACACCUUCUAUCACAGAUCCGAAGGCAAGACAUUCAUUGCUAAGAAUGGAUCCUUUCUAGAGAAGGAGUUUCUCUCGAAAGAAGUGAGUGGGAGGAAAGUAGAACUUGAUGAGGUAACUGUACCUGCUCCCUUAUUGGAAAGUAGAUCAUCACAGAAACCAGUUUCUGUGACACCUACACCAAUUAGUGAGGAAGUUAAUGAUAAUGAUCAUAAAACUUCAGAUCAAGUUAUUACUGAACCUCGUAGGUCAACCAGAUUAAGAUCCGCACCAGAGUGGUACGGUAAUCCUGUUCUGGAGGUUAUGUUACUAGACCAUGACGAACCUACGAACUAUGAAGAAGCGAUGGUGAGCCCAGAUUCCGCAAAAUGGCUUGAGGCCAUGAAAUCCGAGAUGGGAUCCAUGUAUGAGAACAAAGUAUGGACUUUGGUUGACUUGCCCGAUGAUCGGCAAGCCAUUGAAAAUAAAUGGAUCUUCAAGAAGAAGACUGACGCUGACGGUAAUGUUACUGUUUAUAAAGCUCGACUUGUUGCGAAAGGUUUUCGACAAGUUCAAGGGAUUGACUAUGAUGAGACCUUCUCACCCGUAGCGAUGCUUAAGUCUGUCCGAAUCAUGUUAGCAAUUGCCGCAUUUUAUGAUUAUGAAAUUUGGCAAAUGGAUGUCAAAACUGCAUUCCUGAAUGGAUUUCUGGAAGAAGAGUUGUAUAUGAUGCAACCGGAAGGUUUUGUCGAUCCAAAGGGAGCUAACAAAGUGUGCAAGCUCCAACGAUCCAUUUAUGGACUGGUGCAAGCCUCUCGGAGUUGGAAUAAACGCUUUGAUAGUGUGAUCAAAGCAUUUAUUCCAAGUGGGUGAAAUAAGUCUCUUCGCUUGAAUUUUAGAACUUAGAAUUUAUUACCCUAGAAAAAAAAAAGAAAAACCUAAUCCUUUGAAUCUUUGGUAUCCUUCAAAUCUUCGCUAUACUUCGAGUCUUCGAUACGCUUCGAAUCCUUAUGGGGAAGUCUAUAAAUUAUACGUCCCUUGCUUGAAUCAUAAUGACUUACUUCAAUUUUGACCCUAUCCCCCAUCAGUAUUCGUAUAGAACUAGACCGUAUCUUUCCUGAAAUAUAGCCUAGGAUGAUGGUGUCAUUCUCUAGCCGAACGCGGAACAUUCCAUUGGGUAGGGAUUCCAUAACUAAACCUUCGAAAGUUACUUUUGCUUCUCUCGGGUUUUUUUUCUCUCCUAUUUUUUUCUGUCAUAUUUUUUUCUCCUAUUUUUCUAUUUUUAUUUUAAAAAUAGGAAGGGCGAGAUAGAAUUCGAGCACUAUAGGCGGGGCGAUUACCAUAUAUAACAUAAGACUUCUCCCCCAAUUCUGUUUAGUCGAGCUUCUCGAUCUGUCAUUAUUCCUCGAGAAGUAGAAAGAAUAGCAAUUCCCAUUCCACCCAAAACUUUAGGAAUUCCUUGAUAGUUGGUAUAAAUUCGUAAGCCGGGUCGGCUGAUACGCUUUAAAAAAGGUUCUUGUUCUAUAUAUUCCUUUUCUAGUCUUUCUCUUUUGAUGUCGCAAAGUUGAAACCAAGAAAUAUCUGUUACGUUCCUGAUGUUUCCGAACACUUUCAAUAAAACCCUCUCGUAGAAGUAUUUUAACAAUGUUUUCGGUAAUAUUUGUAGAUACUACUCGAACUGUUCAUUUUUUAUUCAUGUCCGCAUUUCUUAUAGAGGUUAGUAAAUCAGCAAUAGUGUCCUUGCCCAUAAGACUCUAAUUCUAGGUUCCUCCUAAUUUUUCUAUAAUCAACAUGUUUUUUCAUUUUGGAUUUUAAAACAUAUACGUAAAACACAAUCUACUAAAUUAAUUCUUUGGUCUCAAUUUCGCCU
rnacentral:lncRNA from 1 species